AUGCAGGCCUGGCCCGUGCCCACGACGCCCACCGAGCUCCGCGACUUCCUCGGCCUCACGGGCUACUACCGUAAAUUCGUGCCACACUACGGCAUCAUCGCCAAGCCCCUGACGCGCCUCCUCACCAAGAAGGGAUUUCUCUGGGAUGAUCAAGCGCAAACUGCUUUCGAGAUGCUGAAGAAGGCGAUGGUGAGCACACCAGUUCUGGCAUUGCCAGAUUUCAAGCGCCCGUUCGCCAUCGAGACCGACGCGUGCGACACUGGCAUCGGUGCCGUCCUGACGCAAGACAACCACCCGAUCGCGUACUUGAGCAAGGCGCUCGGCGUGCGGAAUCAGAAACUCUCGGCGUACGAGAAGGAGUUCCUCGCCGUGAUGAUGGCGAUCGACAAGUGGCGUCCCUACCUCCAGCGCGCUGCGUUUGAAAUCGUCACCGACCACAAGAGUUUGUGUUCCUUGGGCGAUCAAUAG
rnacentral:rRNA from 1 species